CACGUAGGGGGCAAGCGUUGUCCGGAUUUAUUGGGCGUAAAGAGCUCGUAGGCGGUUUCGUAAGUCGGGUGUGAAAACUCUAGGCUCAACCUAGAGACGCCACCCGAUACUGCGAUGACUAGAGUCCGGUAGGGGAGUGUGGAAUUCCUGGUGUAGCGGUGAAAUGCGUAGAUAUCGGGAGGAACACCAGUGGCGAAGGCGGCUUCCUGGCCUGUUCUUGACGCUGAGGCGCGAAAGCUAGGGGAGCAAACGGG
rnacentral:rRNA from 1 species